AGAUUGAACGCUGGCGGCAUGCCUUACACAUGCAAGUCGAACGGCAGCACGGGGGCAACCCUGGUGGCGAGUGGCGAACGGGUGAGUAACAUAUCGGAACGUGCCCUGGAGUGGGGGAUAACUAGUCGAAAGACUAUCUAAUACCGCAUACGAUCUACGGAUGAACGUGGGGGAUCGCAAGACCUCAUGCUCGUGGAGCGGCCGAUAUCUGAUUAGCUAGUUGGUGGGGUAAAGGCCUACCAAGGCAUCGAUCAGUAGCUGGUCUGAGAGGACGACCAGCCACACUGGGACUGAGACACGGCCCAGACUCCUACGGGAGGCAGCAGUGGGGAAUUUUGGACAAUGGGCGCAAGCCUGAUCCAGCAAUGCCGCGUGAGUGAAGAGCCUUCGGUGUAAGCUUCUUUGUCGAGGAAGAACGGUUCGUAGGUCUAAUAUCGUUGGAGUCGUAAGUCGUACGGUACCUAGG
rnacentral:rRNA from 1 species